rnacentral:rRNA from 1 species
AUUGAACGCUGGCGGCAGGCCUAACACAUGCAAGUCGAACGAGUGGCGGACGGGUGAGUAAUGUAUGGGAAACUGCCUGAUGGAGGGGGAUAACUACUGGAAACGGUAGCUAAUACCGCAUACCAUCGGAUGUGCCCAGAUGGGAUUAGCUAGGAGGUGGGGUAAAGGCUCACCUAGGCGACGAUCCCUAGCUGGGCUGAGAGGAUGACCAGCCACACGGGAACGGGGACACGGUCCAGACUCCGACGGGAGGCAGCAGUGGGGAAUAUUGCACAAUGGGGGCAAUCCUGAUGCAUCCAUGCCGCGUGUAUGAAGAAGGCCUUCGGGUUGUAAAGUACUUUCAGCGGGGAGGCGUUACCCGCAGAAGAAGCACCGGCUAACUCCGUGCCAGCAGCCGCGGUAAUUC